UUCCGGUUGAUCCCGGCGGAGGUUACUGCUAUCGAGGUUCGACUAAGCCAUGCGAGUCGAAUGUAGCAAUACAUGGCGUACUGCUCAGUAACACGUGGACAACCACCCUUAGGUCGGGGAUAAACCCGGGAAACUGGGUAUAAUACCCGAUAGUCCUCGAAUGCUGGAAUGCAUCGAGGUCUAAAGCUCCGGCGCCUAAGGAUGGGUCUGCGGCCUAUCAGGUAGUAGUGGGUGUAGCGUACCUACUAGCCUACGACGGGUACGGGUUGUGAGAGCAAGCGCCCGGAGAUGGAUUCUGAGACACGAAUCCAGGCCCUACGGGGUGCAGCAGGCGCGAAAACUUUACAAUGCUGGCAACAGCGAUAAGGGGACCUCGAGUGACAGGUUACAAAUCUGGCUGUCGUGAUGCCUAAAAAGCAUUGCAUAGCAAGGGCCGGGCAAGACCGGUGCCAGCCGCCGCGGUAACACCGGCGGCUCGAGUGGUAACCGUUAUUAUUGGGUCUAAAGGGUCUGUAGCCGGCCGGAUAAGUCCCUUGGGAAAUCUGGCAGCUUAACUGUCAGGCUUUCAGGAGAUACUGUCUGGCUCGAGGCCGGGAGAGGUGAGAGGUACUUCAGGGGUAGGGGGAAAUCUUGUCUCCUGAAGGACCACCA
rnacentral:rRNA from 1 species